rnacentral:piRNA from 1 species
UAGGAAGAUGGGUCUUGGAGUGUGCUUU